AAUCGUCCGAAUAAGCUACUAGUUGACUGAAAUCAAGCUGAAAGCGUCUGUAUUUCUCUCUCCUCCGGCAUUGAUUUUCGGUGCUGUUGUUUGGGAAUGGAAACCUAAGGGAAAGGGGAUACAGCGUUGGCAUAAGUAGGACCAUUCGACAUCCGAAACGUCGAAUUUUGGCUAAAAAAAGUAGUGCGAUUUCUCCUUUCUCUCUCCUCGAUUCAAGUUGUUGCCAUCACCAUUUAACGCCUCACUCACCUCUGUUCGUAUCAUCAGACAUUGAGGUUGCUAGUGGAGGAGGCACAAUGUGUGGCUAUUUUGGGUGGUUGCCGUGAAAAGAAAGAAAGAGAGGGGGAAACUGUCAAGGAAAAUGGGAGUGAGAGCGAAG
rnacentral:misc_RNA from 1 species